rnacentral:rRNA from 1 species
CUGAUGCAGCCAUGCCGCGUGUGUGAAGAAGGCCUUCGGGUUGUAAAGCACUUUCAGCGAGGAGGAAAGGUCAGUAGCUAAUAUCUGCUGGCUGUGACGUUACCCGCAGACGAAGCACCGGUUAACUCCGUGCCAGCAGCCGCGCCAAUAAUUUCUG